GGAAACUUUAUUUUUUUCUAUUAAGUUAAUAAAAUUUUCAUAAUUAACUACUUUACAGAAAAAAAAUAAUCAUUUUAUAAAAAUCUCAUUAGAUGAGUUAUAAAUUUAUGUUAAAAUAUUUCAUUUGUAACAAAGUAAUUAUACUUUUUAUAGAACCAAGUAACCAUAGAAUAUACCAUAUAUAUACCUCUUAAUCCUCAAGAAUUUAAAGUGCAUGCAUGGAAAAUUCAUGUUGCAGCUAGUGCGAUAAUCGUUACUUACCAAAGGAUUUCUACAG
rnacentral:misc_RNA from 1 species